AGUGAACGCUGGCGAUAGGCCUAACACAUGCAAGUCGAACGGCAGCACACUAAGAGCUUGCUCUUACGGGUGGCGAGUGGCGGACGGGUGAGGAAUACAUCGGAAUCUACUUUUUCGUGGGGGAUAACGUAGGGAAACUUACGCUAAUACCGCAUACGACCUACGGGUGAAAGCAGGGGAUCUUCGGACCUUGCGCGAUUGAAUGAGCCGAUGUCGGAUUAGCUAGUUGGCGGGGUAAAGGCCCACCAAGGCGACGAUCCGUAGCUGGUCUGAGAGGAUGAUCAGCCACACUGGAACUGAGACACGGUCCAGACUCCUACGGGAGGCAGCAGUGGGGAAUAUUGGACAAUGGGCGCAAGCCUGAUCCAGCCAUACCGCGUGGGUGAAGAAGGCCUUCGGGUUGUAAAGCCCUUUUGUUGGGAAAGAAAAGCAGCAGGUUAAUACCCCGCUGUUCUGACGGUACCCAAAGAAUAAGCACCGGCUAACUUCGUG
rnacentral:rRNA from 1 species